CGCACGGGUGAGUAACGCGUAGGUAAUCUACCCUAAUAUUUGGGAUAACAUUGGGAAACUGGUGCUAAUACCGAAUACCCUUCUUUUCUGUCGGGUUAAGGAGGAAAGGUGGCCUCUUCGUGAAAGCUACCGUAUAAGGAUGAGCCUGCGUACCAUUAGCUAGUAGGUGGGGUAAAGGCCCACCUAGGCUACGAUGGUUAGCGGGUCUGAGAGGAUGAUCCGCCACACUGGAACUGGAACACGAACCAG
rnacentral:rRNA from 1 species